AACGAACGCUGGCGGCAUGCCUAACACAUGCAAGUCGAACGAGACCUUCGGGUCUAGUGGCGCACGGGUGCGUAACGCGUGGGAACCUGCCCUUAGGUUCGGAAUAACUCCCCGAAAGGGGUGCUAAUACCGGAUAAUGUCUUCGGACCAAAGAUUUAUCGCCUUUGGAUGGGCCCGCGUUGGAUUAGCUAGUUGGUAGGGUAAAAGCCUACCAAGGCGACGAUCCAUAGCUGGUCUGAGAGGAGGAUCAGCCACACUGGGACUGAGACACGGCCCAGACUCCUACGGGAGGCAGCAGUGGGGAAUAUUGGACAAUGGGCGAAAGCCUGAUCCAGCAAUGCCGCGUGAGUGAUGAAGGCCGUAGGGUUGUAAAGCUCUUUUACCCGGGAUGAUAAUGACAGUACCGGGAGAAUAAGCUCCGGCUAACUCCGUG
rnacentral:rRNA from 1 species